ACAACACUGUGCCGUCAGAUGUUUUCUGCCAAGGAGGCGGAAGGAGGCCUAAGGCGGUUGCAAUCACCCCUGGUAGGGGCAGCAGAACUGGUUGCCCAGCAACAGCAAGCCGCUCCGGGGGUAAGGAUCCCCCAUUUACUUGAUUUAGCUCCAGCUGGAUCCUCUUGUCGGCAGUAAAGAAAGCUGCUGUUAACGAAAGGAGAAAUGGCGUUUCUACGGUGAGAAGGACUAUGUCAAGAGGGGAGAGAGCCGGGGCGUGAGGCGUGGGCGAGACUGGAAGAUCUUUCUCCUACUGGGGAAACAGAGGAGACGAGAAGGCAGCUGAAGUCUAGACCUCCCCCACAAGCGCAGAACGACAGUCAGUCCUCUGUUGAUUGGCUCUUCGGAUAUGGAAACUGUAAAUACAGAAGGCAAACUAUACAUGGGAAGAGAGAAAACCAGACCCCCAGCUGCAAGGAACAAAACAUUGGACCUGCUGUGAAGCCCCACCCCUAGUAGAGGAGGGCUGCUUUCAAUCUCUUGCUGUUACUACAACACUUCUGAAAAGAGAUCUAAUAGAGAAAAUAUACAAAGCAUUUGAGAACUUCACCACCAUGGAGAGCCCAAGUCUGACCCGAGGUGCCAAAGCCUCUCCCAGGCUCAGGGCUGAGGGCGGCCAGCACGAACAUCAGUAAAAACAUGCAAAAGAAGGAGAAGGAGAAACAUCACGCACCCCUGGACAGUGGGGAUAGAUCUGGAAUGGAACAGGAAGCAGGGAUGAAAGUACCAGGCGGCUCUCCUUCCCGCUUCCAUCUUUUCCAGUAGCCCUGACAUGGAGGAAGGCAUGUGCUCCACCCACUGCCCAGGGCCUGCAACCCACAGCUCAUGACUUCUGUACCCACCUGCUCCUGUGUUCCUAGGUGCCAGGCCAGGGCGGCCCAGCUCCUCAUUUCUUUGGUUCCAUUCACAGAACAGUUGUGCUUAACAGACUCAUCCUACCCUCAAACUCCAGGCUCCUGCCGGCGGAUGAAGGCACUGACAUGAAUCCCCAGGAGAGCCCAGGAUACCCACCUGCUCUUGUGCUCUGAUGGGUCCAACCCAGGACACAUUUCCCCACCUUAGUCCACACUUAGGCCUAAGAACCAGGAGAACAUAGGAAAUGUGCUGUGCAUGAAAAGUCUUUGGGGACUUGCCCAAAUGUGGGGGUGGUAUUUCUGAACCCCAUGCCAAGCCUCAUCCAUGCUCUCGCCCCUGCCCCGGGCUUUCACAUAUCCAGCCCCUCCUUUUAGUCCUUCCCCUUGGCCCAGCCACUGGGGAGCUGAAUUAAAACAACGAUUACAGAAACCAUUUUGGGCAACUAUCCUCUCCUGCCUCACACCUGAAAGACCAGCGGACACAGAGGUCCCCUCGAGAGAUCAUGGCCCUGGUACAGGAAGGAGGGUGGGACUGGAAUGAAUAGUGCGACAUGUCACAUCUAUGAAAAAGUGCCCAAGGUACAAGCUAAGCAAAGGGAGGAGGAGGGCCAGAGAGUGGCCAGGAGGAGGAGGAAGAGGGCAGGGCGGGCCUGGAGGGAAGGCCUCACACCACCCCACAGAUGAGCGUCUCCACCACGAAGGUGUUCUCAAAGUGACGGAUGGCAUUGCAGUUCUUGGCCCCACGUUUGUUGAUCCCUGGGAAGAAAAAGAAAGUCCCAGUUAGGCCUGUGUCCAGGCUCAGAAAGGCGGCCAGCCUCUGAGCCUGAGAGCCCUGGGACUUGGCAGGGCAGGCAGGGGGAAGUCAGAAAGAGACGUGCAGUGUCACUUUCUGUGUGUUUAUUUUACAAGUGGGUUGUUGGACUAACAGGGCUUGG